rnacentral:rRNA from 1 species
ACGGAGGCAGCAGUGGGGAAUAUUGCACAAUGGGGGAAACCCUGAUGCAGCGACGCCGCGUGAGUGAAGAAGUAAUUCGUUAUGUAAAGCUCUAUCAGCAGGGAAGAAAAUGACGGUACCUGAGUAAGAAGCCCCGGCUAACUACGUGCCAGCAGCCGCGGUAAUACGUAGGGGGCAAGCGUUAUCCGGAUUUACUGGGUGUAAAGGGAGCGUAGACGGCAGUGCAAGUCUGAUGUGAAAGCCCGGGGCCCAACCCCGGAACUGCAUUGGAAACUGUACUGCUAGAGUGCAGGAGAGGUAAGUGGAAUUCCUAGUGUAGCGGUGAAAUGCGUAGAUAUUAGGAGGAACACCAGUGGCGAAGGCGGCUUACUGGACUGUAACUGACGUUGAGGCUCGAAAGCGUGGGGAGCAAACAGGAUUAGAUACCCUGGUA